rnacentral:rRNA from 1 species
AGUGAACGCUGGCGGUAGGCCUAACACAUGCAAGUCGAACGGCAGCACAGUAAGAGCUUGCUCUUACGGGUGGCGAGUGGCGGACGGGUGAGGAAUACAUCGGAAUCUACUUUUUCGUGGGGGAUAACGUAGGGAAACUUACGCUAAUACCGCAUACGCCCUACGGGUGAAAGCAGGGGAUCUUCGGACCUUGCGCGAUUGAAUGAGCCGAUGUCGGAUUAGCUAGUUGGCGGGGUAAAGGCCCACCAAGGCGACGAUCCGUAGCUGGUCUGAGAGGAUGAUCAGCCACACUGGAACUGAGACACGGUCCAGACUCCUACGGGAGGCAGCAGUGGGGAAUAUUGGACAAUGGGCGCAAGCCUGAUCCAGCCAUACCGAGUGGGUGAAGAAGGCCUUCGGGUUGUAAAGCCCUUUUGUUGGGAAAGAAAAGCAGCAGGUUAAUACCCCGCUGUUCUGACGGUACCCAAAGAAUAAGCACCGGCUAACUUCGUG